rnacentral:rRNA from 1 species
GGUUAAGCGACUAAGCGUACACGGUGGAUGCCCUGGCAGUCAGAGGCGAUGAAGGACGUGCUAAUCUGCGAUAAGCGUCGGUAAGGUGAUAUGAACCGUUAUAACCGGCGAUUUCCGAAUGGGGAAACCCAGUGUGUUUCGACACACUAUCAUUAACUGAAUCCAUAGGUUAAUGAGGCGAACCGGGGGAACUGAAACAUCUAAGUACCCCGAGGAAAAGAAAUCAACCGAGAUUCCCCCAGUAGCGGCGAGCGAACGGGGAGCAGCCCAGAGCCUGAAUCAGUGUGUGUGUUAGUGGAAGCGUCUGGAAAGGCGCGCGAUACAGGGUGACAGCCCCGUACACAAAAAUGCACAUGCUGUGAGCUCGAUGAGUAGGGCGGGACACGUGGUAUCCUGUCUGAAUAUGGGGGGACCAUCCUCCAAGGCUAAAUACUCCUGACUGACCGAUAGUGAACCAGUACCGUGAGGGAAAGGCGAAAAGAACCCCGGCGAGGGGAGUGAAAAAGAACCUGAAACCGUGUACGUACAAGCAGUGGGAGCACGCUUAGGCGUGUGACUGCGUACCUUUUGUAUAAUGGGUCAGCGACUUAUAUUCUGUAGCAAGGUUAACCGAAUAGGGGAGCCGAAGGGAAACCGAGUCUUAACUGGGCGUUAAGUUGCAGGGUAUAGACCCGAAACCCGGUGAUCUAGCCAUGGGCAGGUUGAAGGUUGGGUAACACUAACUGGAGGACCGAACCGACUAAUGUUGAAAAAUUAGCGGAUGACUUGUGGCUGGGGGUGAAAGGCCAAUCAAACCGGGAGAUAGCUGGUUCUCCCCGAAAGCUAUUUAGGUAGCGCCUCGUGAAUUCAUCUCCGGGGGUAGAGCACUGUUUCGGCAAGGGGGUCAUCCCGACUUACCAACCCGAUGCAAACUGCGAAUACCGGAGAAUGUUAUCACGGGAGACACACGGCGGGUGCUAACGUCCGUCGUGAAGAGGGAAACAACCCAGACCGCCAGCUAAGGUCCCAAAGUCAUGGUUAAGUGGGAAACGAUGUGGGAAGGCCCAGACAGCCAGGAUGUUGGCUUAGAAGCAGCCAUCAUUUAAAGAAAGCGUAAUAGCUCACUGGUCGAGUCGGCCUGCGCGGAAGAUGUAACGGGGCUAAACCAUGCACCGAAGCUGCGGCAGCGACGCUUAUGCGUUGUUGGGUAGGGGAGCGUUCUGUAAGCCUGUGAAGGUGUACUGUGAGGUAUGCUGGAGGUAUCAGAAGUGCGAAUGCUGACAUAAGUAACGAUAAAGCGGGUGAAAAGCCCGCUCGCCGGAAGACCAAGGGUUCCUGUCCAACGUUAAUCGGGGCAGGGUGAGUCGACCCCUAAGGCGAGGCCGAAAGGCGUAGUCGAUGGGAAACAGGUUAAUAUUCCUGUACUUGGUGUUACUGCGAAGGGGGGACGGAGAAGGCUAUGUUGGCCGGGCGACGGUUGUCCCGGUUUAAGCGUGUAGGCUGGUUUUCCAGGCAAAUCCGGAAAAUCAAGGCUGAGGCGUGAUGACGAGGCACUACGGUGCUGAAGCAACAAAUGCCCUGCUUCCAGGAAAAGCCUCUAAGCAUCAGGUAACAUCAAAUCGUACCCCAAACCGACACAGGUGGUCAGGUAGAGAAUACCAAGGCGCUUGAGAGAACUCGGGUGAAGGAACUAGGCAAAAUGGUGCCGUAACUUCGGGAGAAGGCACGCUGAUAUGUAGGUGAAGUCCCUCGCGGAUGGAGCUGAAAUCAGUCGAAGAUACCAGCUGGCUGCAACUGUUUAUUAAAAACACAGCACUGUGCAAACACGAAAGUGGACGUAUACGGUGUGACGCCUGCCCGGUGCCGGAAGGUUAAUUGAUGGGGUUAGCGCAAGCGAAGCUCUUGAUCGAAGCCCCGGUAAACGGCGGCCGUAACUAUAACGGUCCUAAGGUAGCGAAAUUCCUUGUCGGGUAAGUUCCGACCUGCACGAAUGGCGUAAUGAUGGCCAGGCUGUCUCCACCCGAGACUCAGUGAAAUUGAACUCGCUGUGAAGAUGCAGUGUACCCGCGGCAAGACGGAAAGACCCCGUGAACCUUUACUAUAGCUUGACACUGAACAUUGAGCCUUGAUGUGUAGGAUAGGUGGGAGGCUUUGAAGUGUGGACGCCAGUCUGCAUGGAGCCGACCUUGAAAUACCACCCUUUAAUGUUUGAUGUUCUAACGUUGACCCGUAAUCCGGGUUGCGGACAGUGUCUGGUGGGUAGUUUGACUGGGGCGGUCUCCUCCUAAAGAGUAACGGAGGAGCACGAAGGUUGGCUAAUCCUGGUCGGACAUCAGGAGGUUAGUGCAAUGGCAUAAGCCAGCUUGACUGCGAGCGUGACGGCGCGAGCAGGUGCGAAAGCAGGUCAUAGUGAUCCGGUGGUUCUGAAUGGAAGGGCCAUCGCUCAACGGAUAAAAGGUACUCCGGGGAUAACAGGCUGAUACCGCCCAAGAGUUCAUAUCGACGGCGGUGUUUGGCACCUCGAUGUCGGCUCAUCACAUCCUGGGGCUGAAGUAGGUCCCAAGGGUAUGGCUGUUCGCCAUUUAAAGUGGUACGCGAGCUGGGUUUAGAACGUCGUGAGACAGUUCGGUCCCUAUCUGCCGUGGGCGCUGGAGAACUGAGGGGGGCUGCUCCUAGUACGAGAGGACCGGAGUGGACGCAUCACUGGUGUUCGGGUUGUCAUGCCAAUGGCACUGCCCGGUAGCUAAAUGCGGAAGAGAUAAGUGCUGAAAGCAUCUAAGCACGAAACUUGCCCCGAGAUGAGUUCUCCCUGACCCUUUAAGGGUCCUGAAGGAACGUUGAAGACGACGACGUUGAUAGGCCGGGUGUGUAAGCGCAGCGAUGCGUUGAGCUAACCGGUACUAAUGAACCGUGAGGCUUAACCUU